GCCAACACAGCAAUUAAUUAACUUAUAAAAGUUGAAGUGACGAAUGGCUCAAUUCUAAUAGCUAUAACACACACAAUAUUGAUUAUCUUACGAGAAUAACUAUGGCAAUUUCAGAGUUAAUACAGAAACCAAAGCAAUGUCUUUUGGACGAGCGUAUCUGUUCGAUUAAAGUAAUCGAUCCGUUAAUUGGUGACACUGAAUAGCAACAGCUGAUCGCUCGGUCCUGUAUCGGGGACAAAUUCGUCAACCUAAUUUAUUAACUUUCGGUGGUAUUUGUGGACCUAUCAUGGUUGUGACCGUUAACGGAGCAUAUGGGUUCGACUACGGAAAGGGAGCCUAGGAAACGGCUAUCACAUCCAAGCAAGG
rnacentral:ncRNA from 1 species